rnacentral:misc_RNA from 1 species
AAUAAAAUUUAAGGACUAAAUUAUAAAUUACCCAUCUUUAAUCAAGUAUUGAAAUUAAAUGAAAAAUAUAUAGCUAGUUUCUUUUUAUAUAUGGGAUUAUAACUAGGUUCCAAUUUGUAAUUUCAUAAUUCUAAAUCUAAGCUUUUAAGUUUGGUAAGCAAUUUGACAAGAUUAUUUCCCUUAAUCAAUAGACAUCAAUGAAGGAGUGGAAAAUGUACCAAAAAAUUUAUUUAAUACAACCGUUGUAUAUGUAAAUAAUAAAUAAGAUACACUAGUAUAGUUAAUCUUUAAAUAAAGUUACAAUAAAAACGUUUCGAGUUCGAAUACUUUCAUCUACUAAUUACGAGAUUUAUUACGAGUUAUCAAAAGGAGAGAUCAUUAUGCAGGAUAUUUUAGAGUUCUUUAAG